GUAUGCGGCUGUGAUCUUGGUGCUGCAGAGGUGGGCGGGGGUGCGCGUACGCUGAGCUGCGAUGGGCUGAUCGCGGAAAAGCAGCUGUGCAUGGGCAUUCUCAUGCAUGGCCAAGCCCCGCGCGGCUUCGCACUUGCGGGGCUCUGGACGGAUUACGCCCGCUACCGGUGGCACCUCAUGAACACCGAGGACUGGGGAAAGGGCGGGCGUCCUGCGCAGGUGGGGAUUCUGACUGCGGAUGACUCGAUCACCAUGCUGCUGAGGGAGGGGGUACAGGUGUCGGGGGAGUGCAUCCAUUGCCUUGAGGCGGCUGUCAGCCGAUUCACGGACAGCUGCCCGCGCCCGCUGCCGGGAGACGAAACGAAUGCUGGCAUGGGACGAGUUGCGGCGGGUCUGGGAAGACAUGGAUGCUGCCGUCUCCGAUGGAGCUCCAUCGUGGACCGAUACACCCACGGAGGAGGAUCCGCGGGCACUUUUCUGUCUCACCGCUUCCGUGCUGGACCCGUGGUAGGCACGCAAGGCGUCGCUACAGGGCAGACACAGCGUGCGCCGGCUCAUUCUGGUAGCGGCAUUGAAGGCCGAGCAGACGGAUGCACCGCAGGCCCGCUGCUGGAGGUGUCGUUGUGCUGCUCGACAGACUGAUCGUCCGCACCGACGGCGAGCACCUGCAGGUGCCACCCCAUCUAGGCACUGACUCGUUGGCGUGCCUCGUGCAGCGGACGAGCCAUUACCGGCACCGCGCCAUGCGGCUGUGGAAACUGCUGCGCACGUGUGUGCGCGGCGUACGGGCCCCACAGAGCCCGGCGACCGUGUCGGAGGAAGGUGGCGCAGCGCUCGGGGCGGCCGAUAUGAUGGAGCGCUGCGGCUGCCGCAGCUGCGUGGCCGGCUGCGUCCUCUCCGUGGUGGGUGAGGAACAGGGUCUGAUGAGGGGACGGUUCAUGCUGUGAACGCGGAGGGAUACAUGGCCGGUGUCUGGGUGGACUGCUCGCCGUGGCUCUGCGUGCUGUGCAACGCUAGUGGAGUGGCAGACCGGAAGGUAUCGCUUUCCCUGGGACUCACGCCGGAAGGGCUAGCGCCCCCGGCCGUGUUGGGCACCGCUGGCGCGAGGGCCUAUCGGCUGGGAGCUGUGCCGGUGGGGUGAAGCAUUAUGCCCUGAAGCGAUGCAGGUGGUGGCAGCACGAUUGGCUGGCG